UACGAAGGGGGCUAGCGUUGCUCGGAAUCACUGGGCGUAAAGGGUGCGUAGGCGGGUCUUUAAGUCAGGGGUGAAAUCCUGGAGCUCAACUCCAGAACUGCCUUUGAUACUGAGGAUCUUGAGUUCGGGAGAGGUGAGUGGAACUGCGAGUGUAGAGGUGAAAUUCGUAGAUAUUCGCAAGAACACCAGUGGCGAAGGCGGCUCACUGGCCUGUAACUGACGCUGAGGCACGAAAGCGUGGGGAGCAAACAGG
rnacentral:rRNA from 1 species